rnacentral:ncRNA from 2 species
ACAUUCACGCCCCGAAACGGUGCUUUCGGCUUGAAGCGCGAAAGGUAAACGGGAAACAGGAAGGCAAUAUGGGCGCCGCACGACGCGCCCAGCCCAGCCUGUGCUGCCCCCGCAACGGUCCCCAUGGCGAUGGCCAUGGCAGCCCGAUACCGGCCGGUUCGAACGCGAGGGC